UAGUUGGUGGGGUAAAGGCCUACCGAGGCGACGAUCUGUAGCGGGUCUGAGAGGAUGAUCCGCCACACUGGAACUGAGACACGGUCCAGACUCCUACGGGAGGCAGCAGUGGGGAAUUUUGGACAAUGGGGGCAACCCUGAUCCAGCCAUGCCGCGUGAGUGAAGAAGGCCUUCGGGUUGUAAAGCUCUUUCGUCCGGGAAGAAAUCGCACAGGCUAAUACUCUGUGUGGAUGACGGUACCGGAAUAAGAAGCACCGGCUAACUACGUGCCAGCAGCCGCGGUAAUACGUAGGGUGCGAGCGUUAAUCGGAAUUACUGGGCGUAAAGCGUGCGCAGGCGGUUUUGUAAGACAGGCGUGAAAUCCCCGGGCUCAACCUGGGAACUGCGCUUGUGACUGCAAGGCUAGAGUACGGCAGAGGGGGGUGGAAUUCCACGUGUAGCAGUGAAAUGCGUAGAGAUGUGGAGGAACACCGAUGGCGAAGGCAGCCCCCUGGGCCGAUACUGACGCUCAUGCACGAAAGCGUGGGUAGCAAACAGGAUUAGAUACCCUGGUAGUCCACGCCCUAAACGAUGUCAACUAGGUGUUGGGUGGGUAAAACCAUUUAGUACCGUAGCUAACGCGUGAAGUUGACCGCCUGGGGAGUACGGCCGCAAGGUUAAAACUCAAAGGAAUUGACGGGGACCCGCACAAGCGGUGGAUGAUGUGGAUUAAUUCGAUGCAACGCGAAAAACCUUACCUACCCUUGACAUGUCCGGAAUCCCUGAGAGAUUGGGGAGUGCCCGAAAGGGAAUCGGAACACAGGUGCUGCAUGGCUGUCGUCAGCUCGUGUCGUGAGAUGUUGGGUUAAGUCCCGCAACGAGCGCAACCCUUGUCGUUAAUUGCCAUCAUUUAGUUGGGCACUUUAGCGAGACUGCCGG
rnacentral:rRNA from 1 species